UACAGAGGGUGCAAGCGUUAAUCGGAAUUACUGGGCGUAAAGCGCGCGUAGGUGGUUUUGUUAAGUUGAAUGUGAAAUCCCCGGGCUCAACCUGGGAACUGCAUCCAAAACUGGCAAGCUAGAGUAUGGUAGAGGGUGGUGGAAUUUCCUGUGUAGCGGUGAAAUGCGUAGAUAUCGGAAGGAACAUCAGUGGCGAAAGCGACUUCCUGGACCAGUACCGACGUCAGGCACGAAAGCGUGGGGAGCAAACAGG
rnacentral:rRNA from 1 species